GACGAACGCUGGCGGCGUGCUUAACACAUGCAAGUCGAACGGAAAGGCCCUGCUUUUGUGGGGUGCUCGAGUGGCGAACGGGUGAGUAACACGUGAGUAACCUGCCCUUGACUUUGGGAUAACUUUAGGAAACUGGGGCUAAUACCGGAUAGGAGCUCCUGCUGCAUGGUGGGGGUUGGAAAGUUUCGGCGGUUGGGGAUGGACUCGCGGCUUAUCAGCUUGUUGGUGGGGUAGUGGCUUACCAAGGCUUUGACGGGUAGCCGGCCUGAGAGGGUGACCGGCCACAUUGGGACUGAGAUACGGCCGAGACUCCUACGGGAGGCAGCAGUGGGGAAUAUUGCACAAUGGGCGGAAGCCUGAUGCAGCAACGCCGCGUGCGGGAUGACGGCCUUCGGGUUGUAAACCGCUUUCGCCUGUGACGAAGCGUGAGUGACGGUAAUGGGUAAAGAAGCACCGGCUAACUACGUG
rnacentral:rRNA from 1 species